rnacentral:tRNA from 1 species
GUUCUUGUAGUGGAAAAACAACAGUGAUUCUUCAAGUCAUUAGUCCAGGUUAAAGUCCUGGCAAGAACU